UCUAAAACAAGAGAAUGAUAAAACUAAAAAAAAUAUAUAUUACCAUGCAAAUUUCCACCGAAAAUUGGUUUGAACGAGAUCUAUAGUAAGUAGUUUUUUUUUAAUACGACUGAAACUCAACAUUUUUUUUUUUUCAUCAAACCCAUACGUGUGGGGUAUCUAUGGAUAGGUCUUCAAAAAUGAUAUUGAGGUUUCUAAUAUCAUUUUUUUUCUAAACUGAAUAGUUUGCGCGAGAGACACUUCCAA